rnacentral:rRNA from 1 species
GGCCCGCACAAGCAGCGGAGCGUGUGGUUUAAUUCGAUGAUACGCGAAGAACCUUACCAAGGCUUGACAUGCCGGAAGUAGGAACCCGAAAGGGGGACGACCUGUAAAGUCAGGAGCUGGCACAGGUGCUGCAUGGCUGUCGUCAGCUCGUGUCGUGAGAUGUUGGGUUAAGUCCCGCAACGAGCGCAACCCUCGUUCUGUGUUACACUCUCACAGGAGACUGCCCCGCAAAACGGGGAGGAAGGUGGGGAUGACGUCAAGUCAGCAUGGCUCUUACGCCUUGGGCUACACACACGCUACAAUGGAUGGUACAGAGGGCUGCGAAAGAGCGAUCUGGAGCCGAUCCCUAAAAACCAUCCCCAGUUCAGAUUGGAGGCUGCAACUCGCCUCCAUGAAGGUGGAGUUGCUAGUAACCGCAGGUCAGCAUACUGCGGUGAAUGCGUUCUCGGGCCUUGUACACACCGCCCGUCACGCCAUGGAAGCUGGCAAUACCUGAAGUCGAUGUGCUAACUUUUAGAGGCAGUCGCCGAAGGUGGGGCUAGUGACUGGGGCGAAGUCGUAACAAGGUAGCUGUACCGGAAGGUGUGGCUGGAUCACCUCCUUUCUA